rnacentral:tRNA from 1 species
UAAGAAAGCAAAGCACUGAAAAUGCUUAGAUGGAUUGUCAAAAAUCCCAUAAACA